rnacentral:rRNA from 1 species
CCCUUAGAUGUCCGGGGCUGCACGCGCGCUACACUGAAGGAAUCAGCGUGCUAAAACCAUUGUCGAAAGGCAUUGGUAAACCCAUUAAAAUCCUACGUGAUUGGGAUCGGGAAUUGCAAUUAUUUCCCUUGAACGAGGAAUUCCCAGUAAGUGUGGGUCAUAAGCUCGCGUUGAUUACGUCCCUGCCCUUUGUACACACCGCCCGUCGCUGCCCGGGACUGAGCCGUUUCGAGAAAAGCGGGGACUGCUGCUGGCGGGGCUUUCGGGCCUUGGCUUCGGUGGAAACCGCUUUAAUCGCAGUGGCUUGAACCGGGCAAAAGUCGUANCA